rnacentral:rRNA from 1 species
UGGGGAAUAUUGGACAAUGGGCGCAAGCCUGAUCCAGCAAUGCCGCGUGAGUGAUGAAGGCCUUAGGGUUGUAAAGCUCUUUCGCACGCGACGAUGAUGACGGUAGCGUGAGAAGAAGCCCCGGCUAACUUCGUGCCAGCAGCCGCGGUAAUACGAAGGGGGCUAGCGUUGUUCGGAAUUACUGGGCGUAAAGGGCGCGUAGGCGGCCUGUUUAGUCAGAAGUGAAAGCCCCGGGCUCAACCUGGGAAUAGCUUUUGAUACUGGCAGGCUUGAGUUCCGGAGAGGAUGGUGGAAUUCCCAGUGUAGAGGUGAAAUUCGUAGAUAUUGGGAAGAACACCGGUGGCGAAGGCGGCCAUCUGGACGGACACUGACGCUGAGGCGCGAAAGCGUGGGGAGCAAACAGGAUUAGAUACCCUGGUAGUCCGCGCCGUAAACGAUGAAUGCUAGACGUCGGGGUGCAUGCACUUCGGUGUCGCCGCUAACGCAUUAAGCAUUCCGCCUGGGGAGUACGGCCGCAAGGUUAAAACUUAAAUGAAUUGACGGGGUCAUAGCUGUUUCCU